rnacentral:rRNA from 1 species
GACGAACGCUGGCGGCGUGCUUAACACAUGCAAGUCGAACGGAAAGGCCCUGCUUUUGUGGGGUGCUCGAGUGGCGAACGGGUGAGUAACACGUGAGUAACCUGCCCUUGACUUUGGGAUAACUUCAGGAAACUGGGUCUAAUACCGGAUAGGAUCUCCUGCUGCAUGGUGUGGGUUGGAAAGUUUCGGCGGUUGGGGAUGUUCUCGCGGCUUAUCAGCUUGUUGGUGGGGUAGUGGCUUACCAAGGCUUUGACGGGUAGCCGGCAUGAGAGGGUGACCGGAGACAAUGGGACUGAGAUACGGCACAGACUCCAACGGGAGGCAGCAGUGGGGAAUAUUGCACAAUGGGCGGAAGCCUGAUGCAGAAACGCCGCGUGCGGGAUGACGGCCUUCGGGUUGUAAACCGAUUUAGACUGUGACGAAGCGUGAGUGACGGUAAUGGGUAAAGAAGCACCGGCUAACUACGUG